rnacentral:snRNA from 1 species
CGCCUGACCCACACAGAU